rnacentral:rRNA from 1 species
UUCCACGCCGUAAACGAUGAUGGCUAACCGCCGGCGACACACUGUCGGUGGCCAAGCGAAAGCGAUAAUCCAUCCACCUGGGGAGUACGUCGGCAACGAUGAAACUCAAAGGAAUUGACGGGGGCCCGCACAAGCGGUGGAGCAUGUGGUUUAAUUCGAUGAUACGCGAGGAACCUUACCAGGGCUUAAAUGUAGAUUGACAGGACUGGAAACAGUUUUUUCUCGGACAAUUUACAAGGUGCUGCAUGGUUGUCGU